GGGAAGGACCCUCAGAUCAGGAAGAAACGUCACCUGUCACCUCCCUCCUGCUGGGUUCAUGUAUGGAUCAAUCAAUACUGCUCCAGGAAGGUGGGGAUGUGAAUCAUCCCUCUGUCCAGCAUUUCCACAGUAAUUAGUGACUAAUGGGUGACCACAUCAUUUACCUCACUUCAUCUUAUCACAUAGGCACUGUAUCAUCUAGCAUCAUCACAAGAAGGGAAGGGGGUGAAAAUGAAUUGGCCAAAUCGAAGGGUGGCACCUACGGGGGCUUUGAAGUUGACCUCCUUCAUGCUAUGAUGCACCUCAUAACACAAGCUGCAGAAACCACUGGAUCCAGAGAAAACUUGUACGGGGCACAAUGCCAAUGCAGAGGAUGUCAAAGCAGAAGAUUCUUCUUUCUACUGCUCUCCUGAGCACAGCAGGUAAAUCUGACAAUAAAAUGCAUAAAUAUAUACAUCUCUAUACAUGCACAAAUUAGUUUUCUUGAAAACUUAAAAAGGGGGUGACAAAAUAAAUCUCCUUAUUCAGAAAAUUUGUGAAUAAUUUCAAGG